GUGCUUGCUUUGGCAGCACAUAUACUGAAAUUGGAAUGAUACCGAGAAGAUUAGCAUGGCCCCUGCACAAGGAUGACACACAAGUUCAUGAAUCAUUCCAUAUUUUU